ACAAAGGAGUUUGAAAGCAAAACCAAGAACUUUAAAAAGUUCCAAGGGAAAAUUUUCGAUGGGAAAAUGAAGGUGGCUCUUACAGAUUUAUCCCGUGAGAAAGGUUUCCAAACAAAAACCUGGGUGUCUGGGCACUAGACCACUAGAGGGGUCAGAGAAUGUGGCACGGUACUAUUCGUGCAAUCCAUUGCAAGGACGGAAAUCGCAACCGCCUACUCAGGCGUGGAAAGGUGGCUGUACAGAGAGCAUUUUUGGGGCUCACUCACCCUUCAUCGUAGCAGGGUCUUGAUGAUCAAUUUUUUUUUUUUUUAUUUGGGGCAGCUAUUCUCCUUCCCCCUUUUCCACCAUUCAACCUUUUCACUUCAGUGUAUCCCAAUUCAUCACCUAAUUGUGAUUUGCUCCCGUUCACACCCACGGGCCUUUAAGCUCACUUUGUGCCUUUUUCCUCCAUCUCCUCCAUCGCAAAACCUCUUGCGCCAUCUCUCUCAAGCUCACAUAUAUUUCAUUUCUCUGCUAUUCUUAUCUUCACAUAAGGUUCAAUAGAUGGGAGCAAUUGAUCUGUGGAGUUAGGGUUAAUUUUAUACUCAUUUUUCUAAAUAUAUUUGUAGUAUUAUCUAUAAAUGAGGUUGAGCUUCUUUGAUUAGUCUUUAAUGUUGUUGUUCUACUUGUAUUUGAUAUUUUUUUGGAGGUGUCCGUUCUCUGCUCUUACUUUCAGUGCUCCAUUUAUUUCCUCACCUUUUUUGCUCUUGUUUUGGUAAACUUAAAGUCUAUGUUCAUUUUUAGAAUGUUUUUUUUUAUGGCAGUUUUGAUUGAUAAAGAAUGGCAUUUGUCUUCCUUAAUGUUAUAUUUGGUUCAUUACUUAUGGAAAUUCACAUGAGUUUGAUUUUGUUUAUAUAUGACAACUGAGAUUAUGGUGUUUGAUUGCAAGUAUCAUGGUAGAAUGUGUUGUUAUUCUCACGAUCUUGCUGCAACAUGGGCUUUUUGUUUGAGGUCGAUGGCAAUGUGUCUCCUAGUUAAGGUGAGUAAGAGUUUGAGUUUUAAUUUCUUUUAGUUUCAUCUUGGCUGCGAGCAAACCUAAAAUGUACAUAAAUAAACUUAAUAGAUUUUUGUAGUAUGUGUGUGUAUGUGUACUCUGUAUUCGGUUCAAAUCAUGCAUACAUUUAAGGGUCAUUUGGUUUCUCUUAAGUAAUGUGUUUAGUGAUAUUUUUAAUGCACAGAAGAUGUUCAAGAAAAUGCCUCAAAGAAACAUAAUUGUUUUAAUGGUUCUUUUUGCUGAAUGGGUUUUGGAAUGUUGUUGAUGUUUUGGGUUUUGGCUGGACCAUCUACUAUGUUGUCUUAGUUAUCACCCUUAGAUCCUAUAUAUCUUUCAUUCUUGAUAAAUUUAUAUAUGAUUUCAAUAGUUCAUAAUUACUUGUGAAGUGCUACUUUUUUAUUUCUUUUUCCAAUUUAUCAAAUCACUUCAAAUAUCACUAUAUAGUAGGUAGAUAACUUUAUAAUGGAUUAAUAUUUGGGAUUGAUUAAUAUUUUGUAGCAAUAUGUAGGUUCCUUUAUUUUUUUUUUAUUGUAUUGCAUGACUCUUAUUUGCAAUAGUUUUACGCCUCUAUUCCAACCCCCUAAAAAAUAUUAUUUAGCAUCUGUAUUUUGUAUGUUUUAUAUGGUACUAUUUUUAUCCAGAUAAAAUUAUGUUUAAUAAUAAAUAUAUUUUGAUACAGAGUAUUUGAUUGCUCUUUUUCUC